AGACGUAUUCCUUUAAGUUCAGGGCCUUAUUCAAGACCCGUAGGAAAUUUUUGCGGGACCCUCAGGAGAGGGCCU
rnacentral:snRNA from 1 species